UACGUAGGGGGCAAGCGUUGUCCGGAAUCAUUGGGCGUAAAGAGCGUGUAGGCGGCUUGGUAAGUCCGCUGUGAAAGUCCAGGGCUCAACCCUGGAAUGCCGGUGGAAGCUGUCAAGCUUGAGUCCGGAAGAGGCGAGUGGAAUUCCUGGUGUAGCGGUGAAAUGCGCAGAUAUCAGGAGGAACACCAAUGGCGAAGGCAGCUCGCUGGGACGGUACUGACGCUGAGACGCGAAAGCGUGGGGAGCAAACAGG
rnacentral:rRNA from 1 species